UGGAAUUGAAAUCCAAACACAAGCAAAACCUCAUCCGAAAAUUUUGGAACUUCCCCGAGACAUGGUCCUUACACCACCGAACAUGAAUCAACUAAAAAACCAUCUUCUCAGAGCCCAGAAUGUCAACUUACCAAUCUUCGAAAUUAAGGGGUAAAAAUAAGGCUAAAUCUUUGACACGCACUAGGAGCUGAACUAAACUAAGUCUAAUACGGG
rnacentral:lncRNA from 1 species